rnacentral:rRNA from 1 species
UACGUAGGGUGCAAGCGUUGUCCGGAAUUAUUGGGCGUAAAGAGCUCGUAGGCGGUCUGUCGCGUCGGCUGUGAAAACCCGGGGCUCAACCCCGGGCCUGCAGUCGAUACGGGCAGACUAGAGUGCGGUAGGGGAGACUGGAAUUCCUGGUGUAGCGGUGAAAUGCAUUGAGAUCGGAAAGAACACCAACGGCGAAAGCACUCUGCUGGGCCGACACUGACACUGAGAGACGAAAGCUAGGGGAGCAAAUGGG